rnacentral:rRNA from 1 species
ACGAACGCUGGCGGCAGGCCUAAUACAUGCAAGUCGAACGGCUCUUCGGAGCAGUGGCGGACGGGUGAGUAACGCGUGGGAAUGUGCCCUUAGGUACGGAACAACACAGGGAAACUUGUGCUAAUACCGUAUGUGCCCUUCGGGGGAAAGAUUUAUCGCCUUUGGAGCAGCCCGCGUUGGAUUAGGUAGUUGGUGAGGUAAAGGCUCACCAAGCCGACGAUCCAUAGCUGGUCUGAGAGGAUGACCAGCCACACUGGGACUGAGAUACGGCCCAGACUCCUACGGGAGGCAGCAGUAGGGAAUCUUGCGCAAUGGGCGAAAGCCUGACGCAGCCAUGCCGCGUGUAUGAUGAAGGUCUUAGGAUUGUAAAAUACUUUCACCGGGGAAGAUAAUGACGGUACCCGGAGAAGAAGCCCCGGCUAACUUCGUGCCAGCAGCCGCCGUAAAAC